rnacentral:rRNA from 1 species
UACGUAGGGGGCUAGCGUUGUCCGGAAUCAUUGGGCGUAAAGCGCGUGUAGGCGGUCCGGUAAGUCCGCUGUGAAAGUCGGGGGCUCAACCCUCGGAUGCCGGUGGAGUACUGUCGGGCUUGAGUACGGAAGAGGCGAGUGGAAUUCCUGGUGUAGCGGUGAAAUGCGCAGAUAUCAGGAGGACACCCGUGGCGAAAGCGGCUCUCUGGGACGGUACUGACGCUGAGACGCGAAAGCGUGGGGAGCAAACAGG